rnacentral:lncRNA from 1 species
UUUCACACUGCACAUGUUCUCACUGCUCUAGGUGUGGGCCUCAAACAGUCAGCAAAAGAGGCAUAAACUCAGAUGAAUAGCAGGAAUCCAUUUGACUACACAAGACACCAAUCUGAGAUUUACCUGUGAUUUCUUGUGUUCAAAGUGUGAGCUGAACUACUCUCAGAUAGAUGACAUGAAGCCACAUCCUUGGAUAUCUAAAGUGUGUUCCUGCAAGGUGUGUUAGAAAACCCUGCUUAGCCAAAAGAAUUAGAAGAUACACAAGAGCACAAGGAAUACAAAAGAAAUAGGAAAUACAUGACGUGGAUAUGGAGCAGAUUGUUGUAUUAAUUACCAUGUACCUUUAACAGUUUAUUUUCAGAAGAAAUAUCUUCCACGUGAUCAGCUUCUUUUUGCUGAUUUAUUGACUUCAAUGCACAAUUCAACACUAAUAGAUUUUGCAUUUAUUUGAUUAAAUUUAGAUACUGCUAACAUAGAAAAUAUUAAGUCCUUAUUUUAGAUGUUUUUCACUAAUUUAAGCAUUGAUCUCAAAUCUUACAAUAUUGAUUUACCAUAAAUUUUUGCCUCAAUUUAGUCUUGUGCAUACUCAUUUAAAUAAUCAAAUGUAAUUUCUCUCUCCUUGCUUUUAAUUUUUAUUGCAAUGACUUUUUAACGCCGAGUAAAAACAAAUACAUUUGAAAUAAUUCUAAAAUUAAUGUUUGCUUGGAUUUAAAGGAAAAAUGCAUGUUUUUAGUUAAACAUGGAAUAUUUAGCAACAGCUAAAAUAUAAACAACUAUGUGUGCACAGGAUAGCCUAGGAAGUUAAUUAUGAAUGUGAUCAUGUCUAAGAUGUAAGUUUUCUUUUUUUACAAACACUGCCAGCACCCUCAUUUGUAGAAAUGUGGCUUCCAGUAUGAAGUUGAAGAAGCCGAUUAGAGCCCUAUUCUGAGAUGAUGCAGUGCAUUGAAUUGCUAUUUAUAUGCUCAUUAGGAAAAGUAGCUAUACGUUCUUAUCCUUUUUAAAUUUUUUUCAUUAGGUUUGGAAAAUAUUUGCAAUUUAUUAGACUCAAAAAUAUCACCUAUAGUUCUGGGGGGCUUCUGAUGAUUUAACAAAGAAUAGCACUCUGAAAGUGGUAACCGCACUUUCUGUAU